AUACAAACCACACCGAAUCCAAGAAAACACCUUCGCCCGAUGGAAUAUGGCUGCGAAUAUGCAAUACAUCACACACACACACACACACACGUGCUCAUACAAGGGAAAUUAGCUACACACUGCAACAUCAUCAUUAAACUGCUGCUGCAGCACCACCGUCGACGUCGAGGAUCACACCCAUAGGCUUACGUUUUUCUCUCUUUUUCUUUGUGCGGGGGGUUUGCGUCUUUGAGAGAGGGGUGACUUGAGGUGGUGCGAAUAUGUGUGUGUGUGCGCGCAGAGCCAUUAAAGCACCAAAAAAAAGAAAGAAAUACGCGAACAGGAGAGGUGAGGAGAAUUUCCAGAGCACGCGGAGUUUGCAUCUCGCUCCCCUCUGAUGCAAGAGUGCGCCAUCGCAGCGCAGCGCGCGAGUGUGCGAAUAGCAACGGUAACGAAAGCCCGGCCGUUCUCUACGGCGCGCCUUCCCGAGAGUCGGCAGGGCUCUUUUGUGCGAGUGGCGAGCGAGCGCGCGCGCGUGUGCGUGUGCCGCCGUGGUUCACAAAGGAAGCGAAGGCAAGAGAAGGAGAGGUCUGCACAUCGAUUGCCUGAGAGGAGGGCCCGCUGGGAGGGUGUAUGCUGGCAGGCGCGUUAUUUAGUCAUGCCCAGUGCCCCUCCUUUCCGCCACUCACCCUCAGACGCGCGCCGUGUCUUCUGUGCAGUCACUUUUCCUUACCUCUGGCCUCCUCUUUUCGUUCUCUUUCAUCUCUGCCUUCGGCGACUGCGCGUGUGCGCUAACGUGUACGCCAUUGGUGUUCAUGCUGCUACGGCCGCGCCCGUUGCUUACACACGCACACGCACUGACACAACGCCUUCCCAAG
rnacentral:misc_RNA from 1 species